rnacentral:lncRNA from 1 species
GAGGAGUGGGCUGCAUCGUGCGAACCAGACCAGCCCCGACGCCGCCUCCAUCCGCUCGACCACCGGAGGCUUCGCCGUCGCCGUUUGUCCGCCGUCCUCGCCGUCGCUCGCUCGUGGAAGCCAGUCGAAGCCAGCUGCUGCCGUCGCGCCUCUCCAGCUCGUCCAGUCGCUGCUCCGCUUGCAUCUGCUCGUCCAAGCUGUCGUGCAAGCUGGGCCGGCCACCGUCGGAGCUAACAAGGACCGUCGGAGUCGCCGUCCAGCCAGCUCACCGUCUCGUGCACCGAUGUGGCUCCGCCUGCCCCCGCCUCCCUCACCGUCGUCCUUGCUUGUCUUCGCCUCCGGGAGGCCGUUCGGCUAGUUUAGGCCGCGGCUCAGCCGCCUCCGGCCACCGUGCGCCCUCGCCUUAGCCCGUCGGAGCUUCGCCUUGCCUCCGCCGCCCUUGGCCGCCUCAACCGGCGCCGGAUCUGCUCCCUCUCAGCCCCGAUCAGCAACCCAGAAAAUGGGUAUGGCAGCCCAUGUUUGGCUCGUUUUGGCCGCCUUCCCGAGCCCGGAUGCUCGGCCCGCUUUGAGGAAAGUUGUUCUCCUCGGCGUCCCCGUCGUUUUGGUCCGCUCGGCUCGCUAAUCCGGUGAGUUUAGCUCACUAAACUUCGCUUAGAGGGUUAAUUAUGCUUUAGGUGUG